rnacentral:misc_RNA from 1 species
AGAAUUUGAAACUCUUAACAAAAGCAAAACAAGAACUACAUGAUAAAUUCGAUUAUAACACACUAUAAAGCAGGCCAUGAAAUAGUAUACGCUACCAACUUUAAAAUAACGUCUGAUAUACAAAGUAUACAGCCCAUAUACUAGUUUCAGCUCAUCACUCAACUGGAAUCCUAACUUCAUUGGUCUUAAAUGGAGGUAAUAUCCAUGUCGGAUUAUACCUAGCCAACUCAAAUUCCCCAAUUAUGUUACACCCAUCUCUCUCCAACAAUUUCUUCAAAUUCUCUACUUUCUCUAUCACAAUUUUCUCACUUGCAGUCCCACCAAACUUCAUCACCCCAUACUUCCUCUCCCCUUCUUCUACAAUCACCACUCUCUCAUCCAAUGGCUUUGGUGCCUCUUCACAUUUCGUAUACGUCGCUGGCAAAAUGAAUUGCAUAGUCACCGUAUUCUUCUCUCUGUCAUCGCUUUUAGUCACCACCGGUGUUGUCAUGGCGAUUUUCUCACCCGAUUUGGUGAUUACAGGGGUUGUCAUGGCAAUUUUUUCAGGAUUAGAGUUUUGGGGAUUACCGAAUAUCCCAAUGUAAUUGGUAAGUAGUUUGAAUCCACCGUCUUUGUCGCCUUUGAACUGGAUCGGAUCGUAGGUGACUUGUGCCAUAACAGCUGCUGGGUAUUUGCGGAUUUCGUAAUCAGCUGUAGAUUGAAUUGUUUUGUAUUUGGGUGUUUCAACACAGAUCUUCCCAAAAACAAUGCCCAUUUUUGAGAAAUUUCUGAAUUUCUUUU